UCUAAAGUUACAGAUUUGAAACAUCCAGGAGCACGUGACACCUUCACAAGAAAUAAUACAUCAGGAGACGAACAAGAUGACAACCACAAAGGCAACGAUUUUCCUGACUGGGCUAUUGCUUUAUUCGCAAUUGCUGGUGGAAGUAUUGCCAUUUUAUUAAUUGGAAUAAGGGCAAAACGCUUCUGUAACAAAAAACAAAAUGCUGUGAUAUAGUGGCAAUGCUUUGAUUUUGUGCCUUCGAAGAAAUCACCUCAGGUUGUUGCAGAGGGACUGUGCCUCCAAUACCAGUUAUAUAAGCCACUCUAAAUGACCAAAAUAAUCACUAUUGUACUGUACUUUAUUUCCACUUGUUUUUU